ACACAGGCUGGAAACCCGGGGCCUGGCUCCCCUUCCUGUCCCCCAGCCCACAUCCAAUCGGCCCCCACAUCCUGAAACUUCCCCUUUUAAAAACAGUUCUCACGUCUGUCCCUUUUGUCUGCACUGCCACAUCUCCCCCAAGCUGCCCCUUCUGGGCCCCCUGCCUGCCCCAGAAUCACCCUCUCCACUCAGCACCUGAGGGGUCUCCCAAGCUCCAACCUCUCUUUUCUCUUUCAGUU
rnacentral:lncRNA from 1 species